GAUGAAGAACGUAGCGAAAUGCGAUAAGUAAUGCGAAUUGCAGAAUCCGUGAGUCAUCGAAUCUUUGAACGCACAUUGCGCCCCUUGGUAUUCCGAGGGGCAUGCCUGUUCGAGCGUCAUUAUAACCCCUCAAGCUCGGCUUGGUGUUGGGGCCUGCCGCACGGGCAGCCCUUAAAAUCAGUGGCGGUGCCAUCUGGCUCUAAGCGUAGUAAUUCUUCUCGCUAUAGAGUCCCGGUGGAUGCUUGCCAUUAACCCCCAAUUUCAAUGGUUGACCUCGGAUCAGGUAGGGAUACCCGCUGAACUUAAGCAUAUCAAUAAGCGGAGGA
rnacentral:misc_RNA from 1 species